CUCCGUCCUCCUCCCUCCCGCCGACGCCGAGAGACCACGGCGGCGCGGCUGCCCAGUUCGCCGGAGCGCGUGUGCAUCCAUCGAUGCGCGCGGCUCCGUCCAACUCGCCAGGCCGCGUCGCGCGCGUGGCCUAGCAAUACGCAGGCGACGUCACCACCACGAAUCGGCGGCGACGCGUCACCCGCCCCUUCCUCUGCGUCCGCCACAGAUGGACGCCGCCGUCCGACGCCCGCCUGGAGCUCCUGGUGCUCAUGCCAGACUACCUCUCCUCCGCGCCCGUCUCCACAGGAUCAAGGACAAGAUCGAGGAGUGUGUGAAUGGCUCCCCGGGCAGAUCACCCUUUUCCCUCUUCCGAUUCCUCUCCUCCGCGCCCACCUCCAGAGGAUCAAGGAGCACCGCCAGGAGUGUGUGAAUGGCUCCACGGACAGAUUAGGUUUUUCUGCUCCAAGGGAACCUUCUUUGCUUCAGUCUAAGAGAUGAAACUUGUCGAUUUGAUGAUGGAAAUUUCUGACCUGCAAUUUGCUCGAAGGCUGAACCGUUCUCCUACUUUGAGUGUAAGAGAGAUGAAACUUGUUGUUAGGAAGAUGGAGAUUGGUGAGCUGCAAUUUGCUGGAAGGCUGAACCCUUUGCCUACUUUGAGAUAAUUGACUUGGUAUGUGGUUUUCUGUGUUCAUUAGUGGCUUGAUGCUAGUGUAAGGCUGCUGGACCGUGUUGACAAGCUGAAGAAGCAGAUGCAUGACCUGGAUGAGGAGCAGCUCACCAUCCUGGAUGAUGGGAAGUACUACGAGUUUGCACUUGAGCAGCAGCAGCUGCACUUGAUUGCUUGCUAACUUCAACUUUCGAUAUAUUAUCUAAGUUGAAUAAAUUGUUGCUUCUAAUGGUUUGCAACUCGAUGAUGUACAUGAAAGCGAUUCUGCAUUUGUAAUAUAUUUAUGUUACUGGAUGUAGUUAAAAAAUGCUUAUUGUCCUCAUUUAUAUACCGUUGUGGUAUUGACUACCUUUUUGCAAAGAAAAUAUUGUCCUGGUGAUUCUCU